GGGUUGUGAGGUUAAGCGACUAAGCGUACACGGUGGAUGCCUAGGCAGUCAGAGGCGAUGAAGGGCGUGCUAAUCUGCGAUAAGCGUCGGUAAGGUGAUAUGAACCGUUACAACCGACGAUACCCGAAUGGGGAAACCCAGUGCAAUUCGUUGCACUAUUGCAUGGUGAAUACAUAGCCAUGCAAGGCGAACCGGGGGAACUGAAACAUCUAAGUACCCCGAGGAAAAGAAAUCAACCGAGAUUCCCCCAGUAGCGGCGAGCGAACGGGGAAGAGCCCAGAGUCUGAAUCAGUUUGUGUGUUAGUGGAAGCGUCUGGAAAGUCGCACGGUACAGGGUGAUAGUCCCGUACACAAAAAUACACCUUCUGUGAACUCGAUGAGUAGGGCGGGACACGUGACAUCCUGUCUGAAUAUGGGGGGACCAUCCUCCAAGGCUAAAUACUCCUGACUGACCGAUAGUGAACCAGUACCGUGAGGGAAAGGCGAAAAGAACCCCGGCGAGGGGAGUGAAAUAGAACCUGAAACCGUGUACGUACAAGCAGUGGGAGCACCUUCGUGGUGUGACUGCGUACCUUUUGUAUAAUGGGUCAGCGACUUAUAUUUUGUAGCAAGGUUAACCGAAUAGGGGAGCCGUAGGGAAACCGAGUCUUAACUGGGCGUCUAGUUGCAAGGUAUAGACCCGAAACCCGGUGAUCUAGCCAUGGGCAGGUUGAAGGUUGGGUAACACUAACUGGAGGACCGAACCGACUAAUGUUGAAAAAUUAGCGGAUGACUUGUGGCUGGGGGUGAAAGGCCAAUCAAACCGGGAGAUAGCUGGUUCUCCCCGAAAGCUAUUUAGGUAGCGCCUCGUGAACUCAUCUUCGGGGGUAGAGCACUGUUUCGGCUAGGGGGUCAUCCCGACUUACCAAACCGAUGCAAACUCCGAAUACCGAAGAAUGUUAUCACGGGAGACACACGGCGGGUGCUAACGUCCGUCGUGAAGAGGGAAACAACCCAGACCGCCAGCUAAGGUCCCAAAGUCAUGGUUAAGUGGGAAACGAUGUGGGAAGGCAUAGACAGCCAGGAUGUUGGCUUAGAAGCAGCCAUCAUUUAAAGAAAGCGUAAUAGCUCACUGGUCGAGUCGGCCUGCGCGGAAGAUGUAACGGGGCUAAACCAUGCACCGAAGCUGCGGCAGCGACACUUAGGUGUUGUUGGGUAGGGGAGCGUUCUGUAAGCCGUUGAAGGUGGCCUGUGAGGGCUGCUGGAGGUAUCAGAAGUGCGAAUGCUGACAUAAGUAACGAUAAUGCGGGUGAAAAACCCGCACGCCGGAAGACCAAGGGUUCCUGUCCAACGUUAAUCGGGGCAGGGUGAGUCGACCCCUAAGGCGAGGCUGAAAAGCGUAGUCGAUGGGAAACAGGUUAAUAUUCCUGUACUUGGUGUUACUGCGAAGGGGGGACGGAGAAGGCUAGGCUAGCCGGGCGACGGUUGUCCCGGUUUAAGCAUGUAGGCGGAGUGACUUGGUAAAUCCGGUUGCUUAUCAACGCUGAGGUGUGAUGACGAUGCACUACGGUGCAGAAGUAGUUGAUGCCAAGCUUCCAGGAAAAGCCUCUAAGCAUCAGGUAACAUUGAAUCGUACCCCAAACCGACACAGGUGGUCAGGUAGAGAAUACUCAGGCGCUUGAGAGAACUCGGGUGAAGGAACUAGGCAAAAUGGUGCCGUAACUUCGGGAGAAGGCACGCUGGCAUUAGGUAAAGAGACUUGCUCUCGGCGCCGAAGCCAGUCGCAGAUACCAGCUGGCUGCAACUGUUUAAUAAAAACACAGCACUGUGCAAACACGAAAGUGGACGUAUACGGUGUGACGCCUGCCCGGUGCUGGAAGGUUAAUUGAUGGGGUCAGCCGCAAGGCGAAGCUCUUGAUCGAAGCCCCAGUAAACGGCGGCCGUAACUAUAACGGUCCUAAGGUAGCGAAAUUCCUUGUCGGGUAAGUUCCGACCUGCACGAAUGGCGUAAUGAUGGCCAGGCUGUCUCCACCCGAGACUCAGUGAAAUUGAACUCGCUGUGAAGAUGCAGUGUACCCGCGGCAAGACGGAAAGACCCCGUGAACCUUUACUAUAGCUUGACACUGAACAUUGAGCCUUGAUGUGUAGGAUAGGUGGGAGGCAUUGAAGUGUGGACGCCAGUCUGCAUGGAGCCAACCUUGAAAUACCACCCUUUAAUGUUUGAUGUUCUAACUCGGCCCCAUAAUCUGGGGUGAGGACAGUGUCUGGUGGGUAGUUUGACUGGGGCGGUCUCCUCCCAAAGAGUAACGGAGGAGCACGAAGGUUAGCUAAUCACGGUCGGACAUCGUGAGGUUAGUGCAAAGGCAUAAGCUAGCUUGACUGCGAGAGUGACGGCUCGAGCAGGUACGAAAGUAGGUCUUAGUGAUCCGGUGGUUCUGAAUGGAAGGGCCAUCGCUCAACGGAUAAAAGGUACUCCGGGGAUAACAGGCUGAUACCGCCCAAGAGUUCAUAUCGACGGCGGUGUUUGGCACCUCGAUGUCGGCUCAUCACAUCCUGGGGCUGAAGUAGGUCCCAAGGGUAUGGCUGUUCGCCAUUUAAAGUGGUACGCGAGCUGGGUUUAGAACGUCGUGAGACAGUUCGGUCCCUAUCUGCCGUGGGCGUUGGAAGAUUGAGAGGGGCUGCUCCUAGUACGAGAGGACCGGAGUGGACGAAUCACUGGUGUUCGGGUUGUCAUGCCAAUGGCAUUGCCCGGUAGCUAAAUUCGGAAGAGAUAACCGCUGAAAGCAUCUAAGCGGGAAACUUGCCUCGAGAUGAGUCUUCCCUGGGGCUUUAAGCCCCCUGAAGGAACGUUAAAGACUAUGACGUUGAUAGGCUGGGUGUGUAAGUGCAGCGAUGCAUUGAGCUAACCAGUACUAAUGAUCCGUGAGGCUUAACCUUACAACACCAAAGGUGUUUUG
rnacentral:rRNA from 1 species